rnacentral:rRNA from 1 species
GCAGGCUGCAACCCGACCCUGCAUGAAGUCGGAAUUGCUAGUAAUCGCGGAUCAGCAUGCCGCCGGUGAAUACGUUCCCGGGCCUUGUACACACCGCCCGUCACACCAUGGGAGCCGGUAAUACCCGAAGCCUGUGAGCUAACAGUAAUGAGGCAGCAGUCGAAGGUAGAGCCAAUGAUUGGGGUGAAGUCGUAACAAGGUAUC